UGUGAAUAAUGUUCUUUAAUAUAUAGGACAAGUUGAUAAUAGUAAGGAAAAGGACUGUUAGAUUUCGCUAGAUCUAACCUUCUUGUUAGCCAUCAACAUCAUAUCUAUUCUAUAAGCAAUGAAUACACACACACUAUCCAUUGUCUAGGAUGAACUUCCAACCACUCCAAUCAAGUUUAUAUAAGUAUAGCUUACCAUAUGACAUACUGCUGCAAGAUCUCAGUAGAUCUCAUGGCAGGUGCAGGAUCAAGUAAAGAAGAGAAAUGGAAGAAGCAUAUGCAUAUGUCUCCUGAACCAAAUCUUGCUUCCAGACAUGUCCUGUAGGCAUAAGAAGACCCUCUUCAAACGGCAGACAUGUUUGAUCUAUUGAGCUUUAGGGAAUUGUUUGAGCUUAUUAAUCAUGGCUUCUGUCCCACAACAGUUGAAGGUCUGCUUCUGUACCGAAGAAACCGCUACACUGCAACAUUAGAGUUCCACACCAUCCUGGAAACAAACAAUCCAUGGGGAAGACAGGAGGAGGUGAACCCUAAUGGAAGGAAGGGAUUCAUCAGAGUGAGAAUCAUAAUAAGCCAAGAGAAUUCAAAGGAAAGCUCUGGAUAAAGAACACCAAACUUAGUUAGCACCUUCCUGGACACAAGAUACAAGACUUUCCCGAUCAACCUGUCAUGGGAAAGCAUGUCAAUGAUUCAUGCAUCAUGAAUGUUCGGAAGAUCAAAGUAGUAGAUGAUCGGACAUUGAUU
rnacentral:lncRNA from 1 species